rnacentral:sRNA from 1 species
GUGGGGUUGGGAAUGAAACGGUUGACGCGAUCGCCGAUGAUCGCCAGGGUGUGCCUGCCAUCGCUGACCAUCUGGACGCCACGCCUGCGAAACCUGUG